rnacentral:rRNA from 1 species
UGAGGAAUAUUGGACAAUGGAGGCAACUCUGAUCCAGCCAUGCCGCGUGCAGGAAGACUGCCCUAUGGGUUGUAAACUGCUUUUAUACAGGAAGAAGCCGCUCUACGUG